AUUGAACGCUGGCGGCCAGCCUCACACAUGCAAGUCGACCGAGUGGCGGACGGGUGAGUAAUGUGUGUGAUACGUACUGAUAGAGGGGGAUCACUACUGGAAACGGUGGCUAAUACCGCAUACCAUCGUAUGUGCCCAGCUGGGAGGAGCUAGUAGGUGGGGUAAAGGCUCACCUAGGCGACGAGCCCUAGCUGGUAUGAGAGGAUGACCAGCCACACUGGAACUGAGACACGGUCCAGACUCCUACGGUAGGCAGCAGUGGGGAAUAUUGCACAAUGGGCGCAAGCCUGAUGCAGCCAUGCCGCGUGUAUGAAGAAGGCCUUCGGGUUGUAAAGUACGUUCAGCGGGGAGGCGUUACCCGCAGAAGAAGCACCGGCUAACUCCGUGCCAGCAGCCGCGGUAAUAC
rnacentral:rRNA from 1 species